GACGAACGCUGGCGGCGUGCUUAACACAUGCGAGUCGAGCGGACAGACGCGGAUCUUGCUCCUCUGACGGUAGCGGCGGACGGGUGAGUAACACGUGGAUAACCUACCUAUAAGACUGGGAUAACUUCGUGAAACCGGAGCUAAUACCGGAUAAUAUAUUGAACCGCAUGGUUGAAUAGUGUAAGACGGUUUUGCUGUCACUUAUAGAUGGCACCGGGCCGCAUUAGCUUGUAGGUAAGGUAACGGCUUACCAAGGCGAGGAUGCGUAGCCGACCCGAGAGGGUGGUCGGGCACACUGGAGGUGAGACAGGGUCCAGACACCUAGGGGAGGCAGCAGUCGGGAAUCUUACGCAAUGGGGGAAAGGCUGACGGAGCAAAGCGGCGUCAGGGAUGAAGGUCCUAGGAUCGUAAAGCUAUGUUAGUAGGGGAGAACAAAUGUGUAAGUAACCGUGAACGUCUUGACGGUACCUAAUCAAAAAGCCACGGCUAACUACGUG
rnacentral:rRNA from 1 species